rnacentral:rRNA from 1 species
CAACAGGGAUUGCCCUAGUAACGGCGAGUGAAGCGGCAACAGCUCAAAUUUGAAAUCUGGCUCUCGGGCCCGAGUUGUAAUUUGUAGAGGAUGACUUUGAUGCGGUGCCUUCCGAGUUCCCUGGAACGGGACGCCAUAGAGGGUGAGAGCCCCGUCUGGUUGGAUGCCAAAUCUCUGUAAGUCUCCUUCGACGAGUCGAGUAGUUUGGGAAUGCUGCUCUAAAUGGGAGGUAUAUGUCUUCUAAAGCUAAAUACCGGCCAGAGACCGAUAGCGCACAAGUAGAGUGAUCGAAAGAUGAAAAGCACUUUGAAAAGAGAGUUAAAAAGUACGUGAAAUUGUUGAAAGGGAAGCGUUUAUGACCAGACUUGGGCUUGGUUAAUCAUCUGGGGUUCUCCCCAGUGCACUUUUCCAGUCCAGGCCAGCAUCAGUUUUCGCCGGGGGACAAAGGCUUCGGGAAUGUGGCUCCCCUCGGGGAGUGUUAUAGCCCGUUGUGUAAUGCCCUGGCGGGGACUGAGGUUCGCGCUUCUGCAAGGAUGCUGGCGUAAUGGUCAUCAACGA